GUAUUCCGCUCCAUAGCGUAUAUUAAAGUUGUUGCAGUUAAAAAGCUCGUAGUUGAAUUUCGGGGUUAGUAGGUUGGUCAUGCCUCUGGUAUGUACUGGUCUCACUGAUUCCUCCUUCCUGAUGAACCUUAAUGCCAUUUAUUUGGUGUUUUGGGGAAUUUGGACUGUUACUUUGAAAAAAUUAGAGUGUUUAAAGCAAGCUAACGCUUGAAUACAUUAGCAUGGAAUAAUGAAAUAGGACGUUCGAUCCUAUUUUGUUGGUUUCUAGGAUUGACGUAAUGAUUAAUAGGGAUAGUUGGGGGCAUUAGUAUUCAAUUGUCAGAGGUGAAAUCCUUGGAUUUAUUGAAGACUAACUACUGCGAAAGCAUUUGCCAAGGAUGUUUUCAUUAAUCAAGAACGAAAGUUAGGGGAUCGAAGACGAUCAGAUACCGUCGUAGUCUUAACCAUAAACUAUGCCGACUAGGGAUCGGAUGAUGUUAAUUUUUUAAUGACUCAUUCGGCGCCUUACGGGAAACA
rnacentral:rRNA from 1 species